rnacentral:lncRNA from 1 species
ACAAGGGCAUAAACAGGAUCCUGACACGACUCGACUGAAUAGUUAGAGUGCUCCAAAAGCUCAGUAUGAAAAACAGCAAAAGAAUGAUGAGUGGCAUUGCUGGCACAAUUCACAGCAUAUGUCUCCCUUUCAUAAGGUUGAGUACAGUCAUAGAAAAAAGAUGAGUAGCAUUGCUGGCACAAUCCACAGCAUAUGUCUCCCUUUCAUAAGGUUGAGUACAGUCAUAGAAAAAAAAGAGAUCUGCAGUGUUAGGCCCUGAGCGAAACGGAGUACCCUUGACGCUAAAAUUAUGUGUUGGUAGUGGACAUUUGUUGUCUUCAUCAAACACAUCUGCUUUAGCCAGGAGAAUU